rnacentral:lncRNA from 1 species
CAAGGAGAAAUACGUUUUCUCUUCUAUAUAAUCUCGCCGAUACAUUUUAUCGAAAGUUUGUGGAACAUAAUCAAGAUAGAACCACUCCAUAAACGACUAUUAAACGUUUUACUGUGAAUAAUUAUAUCGGAUAUCGGUUAACCGACAUACAUAUGGAUAUACGUCUCGUCGCAAUUCUUUCUCGAAAGGAAGUGACGCAAAAAAUGUUGCUUCGAAGUUCGGAAAAAAGAGAAGGAAGAGGAAGAAGGGGAAAGGUCUUGGUUGUGCUUUGAAGGGCGGGUUUAGCUGGAACGGAGCUACUUUUCAUCCCGAGAAACGUUAAACCGACGUACGAAAAACUCCUCGAGACGUUCCACUUUUUCGACUGCCUUCUUUACGGCGCAGUAACGAAUGACUGAAGUGCACUUUACGGCGUGUUGAGUUUAACGACGCAAGAAAAGAGUCGCCGAGCUUUGCUGCGCUUUUCAAAGGAUCAAGGACGAAACACGGGCCACGAUGUUCCGAUCGCGAGAAUCGUUAAUUUGCACACGCCUGUUUUUCUGUUUCUGGAAACGUCUUCUGCAAACGUUUGAGAAGAGACGUUUAAUUUUCCUCAACGUUAUAAAAAUUGUUACUAAAAAAAUACUUGGUGGAAAUUGAGAUAUAAACGUGUGCGAAAUAACAGUGUCUCGAGUUUGAAAGCAAGUUCGUAGUGUUAGUGAGGGUUUAAAGCAAGAAAUUUAUGCGUAAUAAUCUAAAUAGACGGCGAGUGAUAAUUUCUACGUGUGUGUGUAUGCAUGUGGAGAAGAUGGCCUUGGCGGGGACGGUGGUCCAAUUGUAACUUGCCGAGACCAACGAGUACGCGUUCAUAAGUCCGAAGCCGAAACGUGAGUUGAACCAAAAUCCAGCCGAGUUUCUGAACCAGCCAGGAUUCUCCCUGAAAGUCGAUGCAAUUAUAGAAGUUGCGAAACAAAGAACGAAACAGAUCUGAGAUUGGAAAAGAUGUGAAAAGGCGCUCGAGAGGCAUGAAUGAAGGCAUAUCCGAAUCGCUGUGACCUACAUCUUUUCUCAGAGAUGCGUACGAUGUAACGUGGUAACAACGGAGGAAAAGGUGACUGUAACUGACCACCGCACAUGGUGUGCAUGAUUGGGAUAGGUCACGGUGGACGAGUGAGGGAGAAAGAGAAGGAGAGAGCAACGAGAAUUAAAAAUCAGGCUUCCCUUCGAUGCAGGAUAUCUUAGGAACCGGAAGUCGUAUCGAUGCGAAUCAAAAGAAGAAUCGAAGGCCAACGUCACUGCUUUCCAACGAUUAGCUUAGAUUGGAAUUGUUUCAGAAUUGAGCUUUACCUGAGUGGACUGUAUUCCGAGCUCCAAACGAUGAGAUGUUGCACGUCUCUCCAGGUUAAAUUUUUGCUUGAAGAAUAACAAUAAAUUAUUUUCGUUAUUCAGUAUACGGCGAAGAUAUAUUUGCUGCAAUGGAAGAUUUCGUAUCCGGAAGAGAACGAGUUAAAACAACGUGCACAAGGAAAAUAGCUUGAGGCGUUCUUUUUAAUAGGUUAAAACAACUAUGAGGGAUAUUGUUGUUUUGAUUAAGAAUACCGCAGAAAGAAAAACACAAAAUUUUCUUAAUCGAGACAACGAUAAAUUUUUAAUUCAUAUCCUAUGGAUUCCCCUUUAAAAAAUUUUCAAAUUUCAAAUAUUUAUGACAAGCAGAUAUAUAAUGCUCGAAUAUCCUCGAAUUUUAACGACAUGCAAUCAUAAUUCGAUCUCGUAUAUUAGAAUGCUAUUUAAAACGAAUAAAAAAGGGAUUCCAUUGGUUUCGAGGGAGAAAAGAAAAAAAAAAAAUUAACGAGC